rnacentral:rRNA from 1 species
GAGGCAGCAGUGGGGAAUAUUGGACAAUGGGGGAAACCCUGAUCCAGCCAUCCCGCGUGUGCGAUGAAGGCCUUCGGGUUGUAAAGCACUUUUGGCAGGAAAGAAACGUCAUGGGUUAAUACCCCGUGAAACUGACGGUACCUGCAGAAUAAGCACCGGCUAACUACGUGCCAGCAGCCGCGGUAAUACGUAGGGUGCAAGCGUUAAUCGGAAUUACUGGGCGUAAAGCGUGCGCAGGCGGUUCGGAAAGAAAGAUGUGAAAUCCCAGAGCUUAACUUUGGAACUGCAUUUUUAACUACCGGGCUAGAGUGUGUCAGAGGGAGGUGGAAUUCCGCGUGUAGCAGUGAAAUGCGUAGAUAUGCGGAGGAACACCGAUGGCGAAGGCAGCCUCCUGGGAUAACACUGACGCUCAUGCACGAAAGCGUGGGGAGCAAACAGGAUUAGAUACCCUGGUAGUCCACGCCCUAAACGAUGUCAACUAGCUGUUGGGGCCUUCGGGCCUUGGUAGCGCAGCUAACGCGUGAAGUUGACCGCCUGGGGAGUACGGUCGCAAGAUUAAAACUCAAAGGAAUUGACGGGGACCCGCACAAGCGGUGGAUGAUGUGGAUUAAUUCGAUGCAACGCGAAAAACCUUACCUACCCUUGACAUGUCUGGAAUGCCGAAGAGAUUUGGCAGUGCUCGUAAGAGAACCGGAACACAGGUGCUGCAUGGCUGUCGUC